AGGGGUUCAGAGGAGAGGCAGGAUGGCCAUGUAGUAGUAGGGGGUCAGGGGAUCAGGGGAGAGGCAGGAUGGCCAUGUAGUAAUAGGGGGUCAGGAUAUCAGGGGAGGGGCAGCAUGGCCAUGUAGUAUAGGGGGAUCAGGGGAGAGGCAGGAUGGCCAUGUAGUAGUAGGGGAUCAGGGGAUCAGGGGAGGGGCAGGAUGGCCAUGUAGUAGUAGGGGGUCAGGGGAUCAAGGGAGAGGCAGGAUGGCCAUUUAGUAGUAGAGGGUCAGGGGAUCAGGGGAGGGGCAGGAUGGCCAAGCCAUGUAGUAAAAGGGGGUCAGGGGAUCAGGGGAGGUGCAGGAUGGCCAUGUAGUAGUAGGGGAUCAGGGGAUCAGGGGAGAGGCAGGAUGGCCAUGUAGUAGUAGGGGUCAGGGGAUCAGGGGAGAGGCAGGAUGGCCAUGUAGUAGUAGAGGGUCAGGGGAUGAGGGGAGGGGCAGGAUGGCCAUGUAGUAGUAGAGGGUCAGGGGAUCAGGGGAGAGGCAGGAUGGCCAUGUAGUAGUAGGGGUCAGGGGGA
ensembl:lncRNA